ACAAAAGCAGAGCUCGGAAAACAUAUACAUCCUCGCCCCCUAUUUCCACUUCACCGCACACAUCUCCCAAACCGAGCCCCAAAGAAGCCAUAUGUCAUAUUAUCCAAAGGUGCUCUCCCUUCCGUCCCCAUCCUCACCCCCGAAAAAAGGAAAAAUUGUACGUGACCAAAUUUACCUUGGAUGGGAGAGGGGAAUCUAUCCCCUCACUUCUUACGGAUGUGUGCUCCCCUUUUGCUGUAGCUGAUGAUGGUUUUGCCUUCCUCUCCGUCAGGGUAAGGAGAAAAGGGAUUUGUGGUGCCCUUUCUCUCUCUCUCUCUCUCUCUCUCGCUCUCUGACGUGAGCAACGAAGCGUAGAUAGAGUCGGCAGGCAGAGAGAGAGAGAAAAAAGAGGGAGGUCGACAGGGAAGAAGAGGAGGCUCUUUUCGGAGCAACAAGUGUGGGGAUUUAGGAAGAGAACGAGAAAGGCUGAAGUGGAGCCUCACGAGCAGGCCAGGGUUGUGUUCAAACUCAGCAGCAGGUAAACCAAGCGGGCAGGCAGGACCCGAGAGAAGCUUGAAGGGGAAUCUCAGUCUGGGCCCAACUGAAGGCUGGUGGAGAAAGAGGAGGAGGCGAAGGAGGAGGCUGCUGGCCCAGGCCUGGAGUGAUGCUGCUGCUGGUCGGAGCACUCGUGAAGGGGCAGAUACUGUCACUUCUGAUGCUUGGUGGCCCACAGCUUCCUUUCAUGCUAAGAAUUGGCCAUGCUGUUUGUGUAAAAGGGAAAACCCGGAAGGAUGCUUCAUAAGCACACUGAAGUCAAAUGAGUCUCUUUCCUCAGAAAUGGAUUGGACCUUGAGUCCUGCCAUCCAAACAUGACUACCAAAUGCUUUUCUUUGCAAGUCUGUGUGACAGAAGAAUAUCACUGAGUUCAUCGUCUUCUUCUAAGAGAAACGUGGCAAAAGGAGUCUUCGAUGUUUCAUUAUGCGAACUAUUAUGAGAUGAAUAUUAACACAUAAUAGAACUUAAUGUAUUGUGUCCAUCUAGCAUUUAUAGAUCUGUUUUAUGUAUGGUUGAUCAAACAAGAAGUUGAUUUGAAACAGCCUUGAAUAUUGCCACAGACUGCAAUUGAAUGGUCCUUUGAAAGAAGCAGUAAUGAAGAAUGAAACUAGCGAUAUUUGUAGGCAGGUCAGGUUUUGUGAUCUGAAUGGGAAUAGAAGAAAUAAAAGGAAAAUUANUAAUUAUAUACA
rnacentral:lncRNA from 1 species